GCUGAAUGUACCGAAGGAAUAAGGAUCGGCUAACUCCGUGCCAGCAGCCGCGGUAAUACGGAGGAUCCAAGCGUUAUCCGGAUUUAUUGGGUUUAAAGGGUGCGUAGGCGGCUUUUUAAGUCAGGGGUGAAAGACGGUGGCUCAACCAUCGCAGUGCCCUUGAUACUGAAGAGCUUGAAUGAACUAGAGGUAGGCGGAAUGUGACAAGUAGCGGUGAAAUGCAUAGAUAUGUCACAGAACACCGAUUGCGAAGGCAGCUUACUAUGGUUAUAUUGACGCUGAGGCACGAAAGCGUGGGGAUCAAACAGGAUUAGAUACCCUGGUAGUCCACGCCCUAAACGAUGAAUACUCGCUGUUAGCGAUACACAGUUAGCGGCUAAGCGAAAGCGUUAAGUAUUCCACCUGGGGAGUACGGUCGCAAGAUUGAAACUCAAAGGAAUUGACGGGGGCCCGCACAAGCGGAGGAGCAUGUGGUUUAAUUCGAUGAUACGCGAGGAACCUUACCCGGGCUUGAAAGUUAGUGAAUCAUUUAGAGAUAGAUGAGUCCGCAAGGACACGAAACUAGGUGCUGCAUGGCUGUCGUCAGCUCGUGCCGUGAGGUGUUGGGUUAAGUCCCGCAACGAGCGCAACCCCUAUGUUUAGUUGCCAGCACGUUAUGGUGGGGACUCUAAACAGACUGCCUGUGCAAACAGAGAGGAAGGAGGGGACGACGUCAAGUCAUCAUGGCCCUUACGUCCGGGGCUACACACGUGCUACAAUGGAUGGUACAGAGGGCAGCAAGCUGGUAACAGCAAGCAAAUCUCCAAAAGCCAUUCACAGUUCGGAUAGAGGUCUGCAACUCGACCUCUUGAAGUUGGAUUCGCUAGUAAUCGUAUAUCAGCAAUGAUACGGUGAAUACGUUCCCGGGCCUUGUACACACCGCCCGUCAAGCCAUGGAAGUUGGGGGUACCUAAAGUAUGUA
rnacentral:rRNA from 1 species